rnacentral:rRNA from 1 species
CUGGUGUAGCGGUGGAAUGCGCAGAUAUCAGGAGGAACACCGGUGGCGAAGGCGGGUCUCUGGGCAGUAACUGACGCUGAGGAGCGAAAGCGUGGGGAGCGAACAGGAUUAGAUACCCUGGUAGUCCACGCCGUAAACGGUGGGUACUAGGUGUGGGUUUCCUUCCUUGGGAUCCGUGCCGUAGCUAACGCAUUAAGUACCCCGCCUGGGGAGUACGGCCGCAAGGCUAAAACUCAAAGAAAUUGACGGGGGCCCGCACAAGCGGCGGAGCAUGUGGAUUAAUUCGAUGCAACGCGAAGAACCUUACCUGGGUUUGACAUGCACAGGACGCCGGCAGAGAUGUCGGUUCCCUUGUGGCCUGUGUGCAGGUGGUGCAUGGCUGUCGUCAGCUCGUGUCGUGAGAUGUUGGGUUAAGUCCCGCAACGAGCGCAACCCUUGUCUCAUGUUGCCAGCACGUUAUGGUGGGGACUCGUGAGAGACUGCCGGGGUCAACUCGGAGGAAGGUGGGGAUGACGUCAAGUCAUCAUGCCCCUUAUGUCCAGGGCUUCACACAUGCUACAAUGGCCGGUACAAAGGGCUGCGAUGCCGUGAGGUGGAGCGAAUCCUUUCAAAGCCGGUCUCAGUUCGGAUCGGGGUCUGCAACUCGACCCCGUGAAGUCGGAGUCGCUAGUAAUCGCAGAUCAGCAACGCUGCGGUGAAUACGUUCCCGGGCCUUGUACACACCGCCCGUCACGUCAUGAAAGUCGGUAACACCCGAAGCCGGUGGCCUAACCCCUUGUGGGAG